rnacentral:rRNA from 1 species
GAUGAACGCUGGCGGCGUGCCUAACACAUGCAAGUCGAACGGUGAUAUAUAGAUGAUUUCGGUCUGAAAUAUAUCAUAGUGGCGGACGGGUGAGUAACGCGUGGAUAACCUGCCCCGUACUGGGGGAUAGCAGCUGGAAACGGCUGGUAAUACCGCAUAAGCGCACGGUAUCGCAUGAUACAGUGUGAAAAACUCCGGUGGUAUGAGAUGGACCCGCGUCUGAUUAGCUAGUUGGUGAGGUAACGGCUCACCAAGGCGACGAUCAGUAGCCGGCCUGAGAGGGUGAACGGCCACAUUGGGACUGAGACACGGCCCAA